GGAUUAGAAACCCGGGUAGUCCACGCCCUAAACUAUGUCAACUGGUUGUCGGGGGAUUAACUCCCUUGGUAACGAAGCUAACGCGUGAAGUUGACCGCCUGGGGAGUACGGCCGCAAGGUUAAAACUCAAAGGAAUUGACGGGGACCCGCACAAGCGGUGGAUUAUGUGGAUUAAUUCGAUGCAACGCGAAAAACCUUACCUACCCUUGACAUGCUAGGAAGCUCGCAGAGAUGUGAGUGUGCCCGAAAGGGAACCUAGACACAGGUGCUGCAUGGCUGUCGUCAGCUCGUGUCGUGAGAUGUUGGGUUAAGUCCCGCAACGAGCGCAACCCUUGCCAUUAGUUGCUACAUUUAGUUGGGCACUCUAAUGGGACUGCCGGUGACAAACCGGAGG
rnacentral:rRNA from 1 species